CAGCAGCCACGGUAAUACGUAGGUGGCAAGCGUUGUCCGGAAUUAUUGGGCGUAAAGGGCUCGCAGGCGGUUUCUUAAGUCUGAUGUGAAAGCCCCCGGCUCAACCGGGGAGGGUCAUUGGAAACUGGGAAACUUGAGUGCAGAAGAGGAGAGUGGAAUUCCACGUGUAGCGGUGAAAUGCGUAGAGAUGUGGAGGAACACCAGUGGCGAAGGCGACUCUCUGGUCUGUAACUGACGCUGAGGAGCGAAAGCGUGGGGAGCGAACAGGAUUAGAUACCCGGGUAGUCCCUGUCUCUUAUAC
rnacentral:rRNA from 1 species